rnacentral:rRNA from 1 species
ACGCUGGCGGCGUGCCUAAUACAUGCAAGUCGAACGAGGUGCUUUUGUAGCAAUACGAGAGUAUCCUAGUGGCGAACGGGUGAGUAACGCGUUGGUGACCUACCCCAAAGUGUGGGAUAACAGUCCGAAAGGAUUGCUAAUACCGCAUGUGGUCAUUGGAUUUAGAAACUGAUGACUAAAGGAGCAAUUCGCUUUGGGAGGGACCUGCGUCCCAUCAGCUAGUUGGUGAGGUAACGGCUCACCAAGGCUACGACGGGUAGGGGACCUGAGAGGGUGACCCCCCACAAUGGAACUGAAACACGGUCCAUACACCUACGGGUGGCAGCAGUAGGGAAUAUUGCACAAUGGGCGAAAGCCUGAUGCAGCAACGCCGCGUGUGUGAUGAAGGCCUUCGGGUCGUAAAGCACUUUUCUGGGAGAUGAGAAAGGACAGUAUCCCAGGAAUAAGUCUCGGCUAACUACGUGCCAGCAGCCGCGGUAAAACGUAGGAGGCAAGCGUUAUCCGGAUUCACUGGGCGUAAAGCGCGUGCAGGUGGCGCGGUAAGUUGGGCGUGAAAUCUCCCGGCUCAACUGGGAGAGGUCGUUCAAUACUACCGUGCUAGAGAGCAGAAGAGGAAGAUGGAAUUCCCGGUGUAGUGGUGAAAUGCGUAGAUAUCGGGAGGAACACCAGUGGCGAAGGCGAUCUUCUGGUCUGUUUCUGACACUCAGACGCGACAGCUAGGGUAGUAAACGGGAUUAGAGACCCCGGUAAUCCUAGCCGUAAACGAUGUGAACUUGGCGUUGGUGGGUUAAACUCCAUCAGUGCCGUAGCAAACGCGAUAAGUUCACCGCCUGGGGACUACGGCCGCAAGGU